GUGCCAACAUUAAUGAGUGGAGCAGGGCAUGAUGCAAUGGCAAUAUCUCACUUAACAAAGGUUGGAAUGCUGUUUGUGCGUUGUCGUGGUGG